GCUUUACACUUACCUUAAGAGGCGGUGUAAGCCGGUCACGACAAGUGGUCAGCUCAAGUGUCCUGCUACGGCGAAUACAUCACGAGGUUCGGUAAAGCGCAGAGUACCGCUUCGGCGGGAAAUGCGAGACCGGC
rnacentral:sRNA from 12 species